rnacentral:rRNA from 1 species
CUUGGUCAUUUAGAGGAAGUAAAAGUCGUAACAAGGUUUCCGUAGGUGAACCUGCGGAAGGAUCAUUACCGAAUUGUCAAACACGGGUUGUUGCUGGCCCCCGAACGGGGCAUGUGCACGCUCUGUUUACACAUCCACUCACACCUGUGCACCCUCUGUAGUUCUGUGGACCGGGAGACAUUGUCUUCCUUCCGUAGCUCUACGUCUUUACACACACACCGUAGCGAUGUCUCAUGGAAUGUUUUUUCGCGUUUAACGCAAUACAAUACAACUUUCAGCAACGGAUCUCUUGGCUCUCGCAUCGAUGAAGAACUCAGCGAAAUGCGAUAAGUAAUGUGAAUUGCAGAAUUCAGUGAAUCAUCGAAUCUUUGAACGCACCUUGCGCCCCUUGGUUAUUCCUCGGAGCAUGCCUGUUUGAGUAUCAUGAACACCUCAACUCUCAUGGUCUUCCAUGAUGAGCUUGGACUUUGGGGGUUUGCUGGCCUUGUGGCCGGCUCCUCUCAAAUGAAUCAGCUUGCCAGUGUUUGGCGGCGUCACGGGUGUGAUAACUAUCUACGCUCGUGGUUGUCCGUCAGGUAACCCUCAGCGAUGAAGGUUCAUUGGGGCUCAUAAACGUCUCUCCCCAGCGAGGACAACUUUUGAACGUUCGAUCUCAAAUCAGGUAGGACUACCCGCUGAACUUAAGCAUAUCAAUAAGCGGAGGAAAGGGCUCCCACG